UUCCUACGGGACGCAGCAGUGAGGAAUAUUGGUCAAUGGCCGGGAGGCUGAACCAGCCAAGUCGCGUGAGGGAAGACGGCCCUACGGGUUGUAAACCUCUUUUGUCAGGGAGCAAGAGGCGGGGCGAGACCUGCUGUGGGAGUACCUGAAGAAAAAGCAUCGGCUAACUCCGUGCCAGCAGCCGCGGUAAUACGGAGGAUGCGAGCGUUAUCCGGAUUUUUUUGGGUUUAAAGGUGCGCCGGCGGAGG
rnacentral:rRNA from 1 species